UACAGAGGGUGCGAGCGUUAAUCGGAUUUACUGGGCGUAAAGCGUGCGUAGGUGGUCUUUUAAGUCGGAUGUGAAAUCCCUGAGCUUAACUUAGGAAUUGCAUUCGAUACUGGUUGGCUAGAGUAUGGGAGAGGAUGGUAGAAUUCCAGGUGUAGCGGUGAAAUGCGUAGAGAUCUGGAGGAAUACCGAUGGCGAAGGCAGCCAUCUGGCCUAAUACUGACACUGAGGCACGAAAGCAUGGGGAGCAAACAGG
rnacentral:rRNA from 1 species